GGGCCAUUAGCUCAACCCGGCAGAGCAGCGGACUCUUAAUCCGAAGGUUACAGGUUCGAUUCCUGUAUGGCCUACCA
rnacentral:tRNA from 1 species